rnacentral:piRNA from 1 species
GUAAGCAGCUGCUUUGGGACAUUGGACUUU